ACCAACAGGGAUUGCCCUAGUAACGGCGAGUGAAGCGGCAACAGCUCAAAUUUGAAAUCUGGCUCUUUCAGAGUCCGAGUUGUAAUUUGCAGAGGGCGCUUUGGCUUUGGCAGCGGUCCAAGUUCCUUGGAACAGGACGUCACAGAGGGUGAGAAUCCCGUACGUGGUCGCUAGCUAUUGCCGUGUAAAGCCCCUUCGACGAGUCGAGUUGUUUGGGAAUGCAGCUCUAAAUGGGAGGUAAAUUUCUUCUAAAGCUAAAUAUUGGCCAGAGACCGAUAGCGCACAAGUAGAGUGAUCGAAAGAUGAAAAGCACUUUGGAAAGAGAGUCAAACAGCACGUGAAAUUGUUGAAAGGGAAGCGCUUGCAGCCAGACUUGCUUGCAGUUGCUCAUCCGGGCUUUUGCCCGGUGCACUCUUCUGUAGGCAGGCCAGCAUCAGUUUGGGCGGUGGGAUAAAGGUCUCUGUCACGUUCCUUCCUUCGGGUUGGCCAUAUAGGGGAGACGUCAUACCACCAGCCUGGACUGAGGUCCGCGCAUCUGCUAGGAUGCUGGCGUAAUGGCUGUAAGCGGCCCGUCUUGAAACACGGACCAAGGAGUCUAACAUCUAUGCGAGUGUUUGGGUGUCAAGCCCGAGCGCGUAAUGAAAGUGAACGGAGGUGGGAACCCGCAAGGGUGCACCAUCGACCGAUCCUGAAGUUUACGGAAGGAUUUGAGUAAGAGCAUGGCUGUUGGGACCCGAAAGAUGGUGAACUAUGCUUGAAUAGGGUGAAGCCAGAGGAAACUCUGGUGGAGGCUCGCAGCGGUUCUGACGUGCAAAUCGAUCGUCAAAUUUGGGCAUAGGGGCGAAAGACUAAUCGAACUAUCUAGUAGCUGGUUCCUG
rnacentral:rRNA from 2 species